rnacentral:pre_miRNA from 1 species
AGGCCGUGCCCAGUGCUUAUUUGUUGCAUUUUCGAAAUACAAAUUGCACUAGUCCCGGCCUGC